rnacentral:misc_RNA from 1 species
GGCAAGUGGAAAGAUGUAGUCUCUGCCUACCCCUCCAGGAAAAACAUGAUUUAAUGUAUGUAUGUAUAUAUAACUGUAGAGUUGUAUCACUCCGUCGCAUUCCCGUGGAUGUUGUAUUGUAAUAAGUAACUGGUGAUAAGGAGAUUAUGCCCUUUCAAUUGUUGUAACGAUUGCAUUCACAAGGAGGAUUGACGUCGAACAGGACAGUAAAGAUAUAUAGCUAAAUCCUUUUAAAUCUGUGGCCAAAUCUAACACCGACCUCGUACCUAGUGAUUCCUCUUUAACGUGACCUUUGACCUGUGAUUGACCUUCUUUUCUUCGUUGUGGCAAUUAUACUUCGUUUUGCUUAUUUUUGCCAGUGGCGAGUUUAACAUAUAUGAUCUGUGCUUAUGUUUUGAGAAAAAAAACAAGUGCAUGCCUGUCAUUACAAUCUGUCACUGUCAUAACGGUUCGUCACAUGAUAAUGACAUUGAUUUAACAACAAUUAAUUUUUGUUGAUUCGCUUUGGUGUUUGUUUAUUUAUUUCAGAAAAUAAAAAUAAACUUUUGUGGUUGUUGAGCACAAAUAAACUAUUCAUAUUCCAAAAUUUGUAUUAUUUUUGUAGAAUUGUGCUAUGAUUGAAAUAUCCCCAUAAAAAGAAAUGUUUAAAAGUGUCUAACAAUGUAAUAUUCAUUAUUUACCAAGUUACAUAAUUGCGAAUUGGAGAAAUAGGACACGAUAAAUAAAAUAAUACAUAUAUCAAAUCAUCGUAUGGCACGAAAUUUUAUUUCAUUUUCCAUUACAAUAAAAUGUUUGAAAAAUAUGGUUCGCCUGUGCACGCGGGUGCCGCUAGGUAUAAGUUUCUUACUCGCCGUGUUGUGCUAUUGGCUGCUUAUCUACAGGAUAAGUUUACUGGAUUCACAUAAAAAGAGUUAUGGAGCGGCCGCAGUAGCGAGGCCGGUGUAUCAUACCCAGGAAAUUCCUGAUGUUGGAAAUUUAUGUGAAACAGUACAUCUAUCAUUAAUAUGUAUGGGAAAAUGCAUGCAGCUUGUCACUCCCAUGUUGAAGUCUUUAUUGCAUCACAGACAAAACCCAAUACAUUUUCACAUCAUUGUUGAUGGAUCCACAGAGCACAUUAUUAAAGAAUUCUUCAGGACAUGGGAUUUACCUGAUGUAAAGUACACCUGCUACAAUGCCCAAAAGUUUUUACCUCAAGUAAGCUGGAUACCGAACACUCACUAUUCCGGAGUUUACGGCCUCACCAAACUGUUGUUUCCGGAAAUUCUGCCAAAUUCCCUAGAGAGAGUCAUUGUGCUUGACUCUGACUUGACGUUUCUAUGUGACAUAGCUGAGCUGUGGACUUUAUUUAGAAACAUGGCUAAAGCACAGAUAAUAGGCCUAGUGGAAAACGAAAGCGAUUGGUAUUUAACACCCAACCGUUGGCCGGCGAUCGGGCAAGGCUUCAACACGGGCGUUAUGCUGUUAGACUUGAAGAAAAUCCGUGAAGACAUCGCUUGGAAAGAUUUAUGGCAGAAUGCAGUCUACUCCAACCUUCGUGUGGUGAAGGAGACGCAACUGGCAGACCAGGACGUGCUAAAUGCAGUCAUCAAGAAUAAUCCAGACAUUGUAUAUAGAAUCAGCUGUCAAUAUAACGUUCAGAUGUCAACGAGGUCUUUAGCGAAAAAGUGCCAUGGAGAAGAUGUGACUAAAGUAAAGAUUAUCCAUUGGAAUUCGCCGAGCAAGUACAACAUUAGGUUAACAGAUUCACUAUUUUUUAAGAAUAUAUAUCAGAGUUAUGUUAAUUUUGAUGGGUACCUGUUGAAAGAAAAGUUGCACAGAUGCAGUCAAGUCGAGACUGUUACGUACAAGAUGAACCACUCAGACCUCUGCAUGAGUUUCCGCGCCGCCCAGCGAGCAGUCCUGCGCACGCACAUAUAUUACAUGGACUACAGCUACAACAACAUAGACAAUUUUGACGUCACGUUAGUACUACAGUUGUCUAUGGACAGGCUGCAGUUCUUGGAAAGGCUCGUCAAGUAUUGGGAAGGUCCUCUAAGUGCUGCCAUCUACCUGUCAGAUUGCGAAGUGGCGAAGUUUGAGAGCUACAUCAGAAAUUUAUCGGAUACGUUGAGCUCACGACGCAACAUCGGGUACCAUUUGGUGUUUCAACAGGACAAUGUACAUUACCCAGUGAACUACCUUAGGAACGUGGCCCUGUCUAAUGUUGACACGCCAUACGUGUUCCUAAUGGACGCCGACUUUGUUCCCAUGGUUGGCUUGUACGAGCAUCUGAGAGAAGCUAUUCGUCUCACCAACCCUUAUCCACAGAAGAAGUGUCUAGUUGUGCCAGCCUUCGAAACUCAACGUUACCGAGCGUCGCCGCCCCGAAACAAGGCAGCCUUACUCGCUCGAUUGAGUUUGACCGGCGACAUAGCGCCUUUCCGCUCUAGAGAGUGGCCUCGAGGUCACCGCGCUACUAAUUAUACGAGGUGGAUCAACGCUACGGCGCCUUAUGAGGUCGAGUGGCAGACUGAUUACGAGCCUUAUCUAGUGGUACAUAGAUCAGUGCCCAAAUACGAUACUCGCUUUUCCGGCUUUGGAUGGAAUAAGGUGUCGCACAGCGUGGAGCUGCGCGCGCGCGGCUACCGCGCCGCCGUGCUGCCGCGCGCGUUCGUGCUGCACACGCCGCACGCGCCCUCGCCCGACAUCACCGCCUUCCGCGCCGACCCGCACUACAGAAUGUAACUACACACGACACACCCGUGCCGCACGCGCCCUCGCCCGACAUCACCGCCUUCCGCGCCGACCCGCACUACAGAAUGUAACUACACACGACACACCCGUGCCGCACGCGCCCUCGCCCGACAUCACCGCCUUCCGCGCCGACCCGCACUACAGAAUGUAACUACACACGACACACCCGUGCCGCACGCGCCCUCGCCCGACAUCACCGCCUUCCGCGCCGACCCGCACUACAGAAUGUAACUACACACGACACACCCGUGCCGCACGCGCCCUCGCCCGACAUCACCGCCUUCCGCGCCGACCCGCACUACAGAAUGUAACUACACACGACACACCCGUGCCGCACGCGCCCUCGCCCGACAUCACCGCCUUCCGCGCCGACCCGCACUACAGAAUGUAACUACACACGACACACCCGUGCCGCACGCGCCCUCGCCCGACAUCACCGCCUUCCGCGCCGACCCGCACUACAGAAUGUAACUACACACGACACACCCGUGCCGCACGCGCCCUCGCCCGACAUCACCGCCUUCCGCGCCGACCCGCACUACAGAAUGUAACUACACACGACACACCCGUGCCGCACGCGCCCUCGCCCGACAUCACCGCCUUCCGCGCCGACCCGCACUACAGAAUGUAACUACACACGACACACCCGUGCCGCACGCGCCCUCGCCCGACAUCACCGCCUUCCGCGCCGACCCGCACUACAGAAUGUAACUACACACGACACACCCGUGCCGCACGCGCCCUCGCCCGACAUCACCGCCUUCCGCGCCGACCCGCACUACAGAAUGUAACUACACACGACACACCCGUGCCGCACGCGCCCUCGCCCGACAUCACCGCCUUCCGCGCCGACCCGCACUACAGAAUGUAACUACACACGACACACCCGUGCCGCACGCGCCCUCGCCCGACAUCACCGCCUUCCGCGCCGACCCGCACUACAGAAUGUAACUACACACGACACACCCGUGCCGCACGCGCCCUCGCCCGACAUCACCGCCUUCCGCGCCGACCCGCACUACAGAAUGUAACUACACACGACACACCCGUGCCGCACGCGCCCUCGCCCGACAUCACCGCCUUCCGCGCCGACCCGCACUACAGAAUGUAACUACACACGACACACCCGUGCCGCACGCGCCCUCGCCCGACAUCACCGCCUUCCGCGCCGACCCGCACUACAGAAUGUAACUACACACGACACACCCGUGCCGCACGCGCCCUCGCCCGACAUCACCGCCUUCCGCGCCGACCCGCACUACAGAAUGUAACUACACACGACACACCCGUGCCGCACGCGCCCUCGCCCGACAUCACCGCCUUCCGCGCCGACCCGCACUACAGAAUGUAACUACACACGACACACCCGUGCCGCACGCGCCCUCGCCCGACAUCACCGCCUUCCGCGCCGACCCGCACUACAGAAUGUAACUACACACGACACACCCGUGCCGCACGCGCCCUCGCCCGACAUCACCGCCUUCCGCGCCGACCCGCACUACAGAAUGUAACUACACACGACACACCCGUGCCGCACGCGCCCUCGCCCGACAUCACCGCCUUCCGCGCCGACCCGCACUACAGAAUGUAACUACACACGACACACCCGUGCCGCACGCGCCCUCGCCCGACAUCACCGCCUUCCGCGCCGACCCGCACUACAGAAUGUAACUACACACGACACACCCGUGCCGCACGCGCCCUCGCCCGACAUCACCGCCUUCCGCGCCGACCCGCACUACAGAAUAUGUUUAGCACUCCUGAAACAAGAAUUCAUGGACGAUUUGAAAAAGAAGUACAAUAUUACGUUCGAGGAUUCCAAG